GUAGGUGGCAAGCGUUGUCCGGAAUUAUUGGGCGUAAAGCGCGCGCAGGCGGUUCUUUAAGUCUGAUGUGAAAGCCCACGGCUCAACCGUGGAGGGUCAUUGGAAACUGGAGAACUUGAGUACAGAAGAGGAAAGCGGAAUUCCACGUGUAGCGGUGAAAUGCGUAGAGAUGUGGAGGAACACCAGUGGCGAAGGCGGCUUUCUGGUCUGUAACUGACGCUGAGGCGCGAAAGCGUGGGGAGCAAACAGGGAUUAGAUACCCUGGUAGUCCACGCCGUAAACGAUGAAGUGCUAAGUGUUAGGGGGGUUUCCGCCCCCCUUAGGUGCCUGCAGUUAACGCAUUAAGCACUCCGCCUGGGGGAGUACGGCCCGCAAGGCUG
rnacentral:rRNA from 1 species